rnacentral:rRNA from 1 species
GACGAACGCUGGCGGCGUGCUUAACACAUGCAAGUCGAACGAAGUGGCGAACGGGUGAGUAACGCGUAAUCAACCUGCACUUCAGAGGGGGACAACAGUUAGAACCGACUGAUAAUAACGCAUACUGAAGGCGGGGAUUGCGUCUGAUUAGCUAGUUGGAGGGGUAACGGCCCACCAAGGCGCUGAUCAGUAGCCGGUCGGAGAGGAUGAACGUCCAAAUUGGGACUGAGACACGGCCCAGACUCCUACGGGAGGCAGCAGUGGGGAAGCUUCCGCAAUGGACGAAAGUCUGACGGAGCAACGCCGCGGGAGUGAUGACGGCCUUCGGGUUGUAAAGCUCUGUUAAUCGGGACGCGGUACCGGAAUAGAAAGCCACGGCUAACUACGUGCCAGCAGCCGCGGUAAUUC